GGACCCAUAUUUACUAAAGUUCGUAGACGUAAACGUAAACGUAGGAUUUACGUCUGACUUAAGAUUAGAGUUACGUACUCAUAAAAUGGUAUUCACAAAACCGUUCGUAGCCGCAAACGUAACUUACGAUGUACGAUUGCACUUACGCGUGCGCAGUGGCUAUUUUCACUUCGAAGCGUAAAAAGUUUGAAUUUGCUCAUUUACUUUGAAUUCCCUGCGCUACCGCCGCAUUAUGACGAAAAAGAACACAGAACUUUGUGAGAAAGCAACGAAUUUCAACGUAUACGUAUGCCUGCUAACGGCAUGUCGAUCAACUGUACCGUUAUUCAGUGUUGUUUACAAAUCCAAAUGGAAGGUUCAUCAAAUUUAACGCAUUUGACUUGUGGAGGGGGAUCUGCGAUGCUGUAGGUGUUCAAAAAGAAGUCGGCAUGGACUGACAAGGUCAUAAAGGUGGUCAAGAAAUAAAUUGCCAUCAGACAGCAGCAUUCCUUGAUUUAGAUGCAUUUCUCUUCAUGUCCUCUCCUGAAAGAUUUUCCAUGAUGCCUCAGGGUUAGGAUUGGGAUGCAAGAUUUUUACAGUACAUAUAUAUGAUGUCUAUGGGUACAUUGCUGUAAUGGCCUGAAAAAUCUUUUGCGAAACCGAGAAAUGUUCAUCUUCCAUUGCCUUGAUUGUGUAAAAGGACGAGCAGAGGAAUGAUUCAAAAAUAUAUGGCAGGAUUGAGAAUCUAACCCAUGACCCGUAGUCUGGUACUCUACCCACUGAUCAAUCCAUGCUGAUGGUCCAUCUGCUACAUUGAUGUCAUCUUAUAUAUUUAUUUAUUCAUUUAUAUCAUAUGGACAUUUAAAAAUUGACAGUAAAAUAAAAAAAAGUUUGAUAUUCAGCAAAAUAAAAUUUGUUACAAUACAUGUUUAAGAAAUUAAGUACAUGUACAUGCAUUGUUAUGCAUACAAUUAUGUACAUGUAAUUAUAUUUGUUAAUAGAUAACUUUUUAGAUGAAUUUUCAUGUUGUUAUUGAUAUUGACAUGUACAUGUAUUACUUCCAUUUCUAGAAUGAUUUUAACAUCUUGAUAUUAAAAAGAUGACAUAAUAAAUAAAUCUUAAAUAUUUGUCAACA